rnacentral:tRNA from 1 species
UGGAAGCGUGGCAGAGCGGUUUAAUGCAACGGUCUUGAAAACCGUCGAGGGUUGAUAGCCCUCCGUGAGUUCGAAUCUCACCGCUUCCGCCAU